GGAGAAAAAGUUUGCACACCUAGUCUAGGGUGAGAUGACUGUGUUGGAGUAUGCCCAAAGGUUUCUAGAGUUGGUCCGGUAUUCCCCUAAGAGCAUGAUGAAUGAAGGAAAGAAGGUAAGGAAGUUCGAAUGGGGCCUCUGCCCUGAGAUCAGAUAGCAGCUAUACGUAUUUGAACUUAGUACCUACUCAGUCGUUCUGGCCAAGGCCCAACUAGUGGAGAGAAACCUUUGCAUCUUUUCUCAAGCAAUGGGGAAUCCUAGACCCCUGG
rnacentral:lncRNA from 1 species